AGUAUGGAAUAAAUCUGGCCAGUUACAGUAAAUAAGUCUUAUGAAUCUCUUGCUCUACUAGGGUAGUGAAGGCUCUCCUGGGAAACCUGGACCACCUGGGCCUCCGGGUAUGCCUUACAAUGAAAGAAAUGGAAUGAGCAGCUUAUAUAAACUGCAGGUAUUUUUCUUUAAUGUUAAUUGGUUUUUUUCAAUCCACACCUAAUUUUGGCCCAACUCAACUUUUAAACUUGCUGUUACAGGGAGGUGCGAGUGUCGCUAGUUAUCCAGGUCCACCAGGACCUCCAGGUCCAAAAGGAGAUCCUGGAACAGUGGGAGACCCAGGACCAAUGGGCUUACCAGGACUGGAAGGACUCCC
rnacentral:lncRNA from 1 species